AGAAGGACAUAGGCUAGUGCCGCCCACGCUUCCCAAAGCCCGGGCGGCUGGGGCCUGAGCAUUUCUUCAAAGACCUUCCGCGCAUGGAGUCGACCUUGGGGGGAAACCCAGGCGGAGACCAGCAGUGAGUGUGCACGUUAUAAAAGAAAUAAGUGCCCAUCUUCACCUUCCGUGUACACCCUCCCCAGCGGGGUCUCUUUCAGUGACACUCUCCAUCCCCGUUACUUCUCGUGAAUUACGUCGCUUCCCUGGGGCUGCCUUACUGCAAAGCUGUACAUUAAUUACCACAUUACACACGAAGCCCCCAGGGAAAGGAAUGCCAAGCAUAAAUCUGGUUUUUGUUCUUUUUUUAAUGUUGAACAUGAUUAAGUUUGCGAUUAAUCAAGUCUUUCCACCAGCAUCUAGGAAGAGACCCAAGACUGCGACUCGCUGGGAGAUGAACGGGCGCACUUAGCAGCGUUACGUCAUAGUGGCUCAGUGACCGCACAGAGUGAGUCACUGGUGGGAUUCAGAACAACCGACAUUCAUCGCUGUGGUGACUGACACCUCAAAGCAUCUGAAAUGGCUGAAAAGGAGUCUGGACACAGAGUACACGAAGACAGGUGAGGACAGGCUGAGCAGCAUUACUGGAGCUCCGCCAACACUGGGGUAAAGCCCUGGUGCCUGCGCUCCUGGUAGGACUUCUAUGUGGGUUCCCUUCCCACUUUACUUAGCCUGAUUGUGGAGCCUGGCUCAAAAUUCACAUCCUACAGAAAGCCUUCUGGGGUCCCUGCUCCUCUGGGUUCCCAUGGACUCGGGCACAUUUCUCUUGCGGCAGUGUUCACAGUGGGUGAUGCUUGUUUAUGUACCUGUUAAGCUCCUUGAGGUCAGGGGCUCUGUGCUAGUAAAGAUGCAACAAUAGUUGAGUGGCCAAGUGAAUGAGUGGCCUACAAUGUGCUUGCCAGGCAUGUACACUGUCCUCUUUUGACAACUAUCUGUCCCUUCCAAAACCUCAUUUUGAAGGGUUUUCAAUGCGUAGUUGUUAUGCUUUGUACCUUAUGACUCUACCAGUGUUGCCCUAACUGCUUAGACCAAUUGCUGACCCAAACAUUGACAUCUACAGGCUCUAUUCUAGGCUGUGGUUGCCCUACCUGAUUGUCCCCUCCUGUCUUGGUUUGAUUCAGUGGGAGGCACACAGUUACAAAGUAAAGAGG